GUGAGGGUCACAGCCUGGCUCUCCCGCGAUGGGCGGGCGCGUCCAGCCGCGACUCCUCCCCGGAGCCUCACCGGCGCCGGACUCUGCCCUGGGCGCGCCCCGCGGGGCGGAGCCAAACCUGCGGGCGGUGGCGGCUGCACUCCCAGGACCCUGGCAACCGACCCUGGCCCCAGGGCCCGAUCACCCAGGGGAGGAGCAGCACCGGGACCCCGUGCCGGCUGGGCGCCCCCCAAGCCAUGCAGCCAAACUGCCUUUGUUCAUGGAGUAGAUCUACUGGGACAACAACAUCUGUUCAGGCUCCUGAAGGACACACCUGGGACCUCCCAUCAGGAGUUCUGUGACUGUUACUUAGUGACCUACUUUGGAAAACUUUGAUUCUUCAGCUAUCUUGGGCCCAAGAAGUUGAAGCUUAGAAAUUCCUUCAGAAUGUAGCGGAGGCAAAGUGGUAAGUUAGAAGGAGCUAGCAGACUCCUGAGAAAGAGCCAGACAACUCGUGGCUUGGGAUCCAAUGGCCACCAACUAGUUAUCUUUGUUUAUGUUGUUGAGCCUUGUUUCUUCGUCUGCAAAAUGGGAAUAAUAAUGCCAACCUCUCAGGGCAUAUGUGAGAAGUAUUAUAGAGAGCAUACCCUACCGGGCAUACAGUCCUCACUUAACAAAUCCUGGCCCCUGCUUCCCACUCUUCUCCAGAUGGGAAGGGAUGCGUGUGCUUUGCACCUUUUUGCAGUUUAGUUGCUGAACUGAACAUUGGCUGAAACUUUCAGCUGUUUUUCAAUGCUUCAAAUUAUGCCAGUGAACUAUGAGGAUAGACUAUUUCAUGAAAAAGACAUCUGAAUUUGGGGUCAACCUAUUUGUGUUCAGUUGAUGAGGUUCUUAUAACCCUGAAAAUCUUACAUCCUUUUUUGUACCUUAUUGCAUUUUAUAUAUAUAUAUAUAUACACAUAUAUAUAUAUAUACACACACACACUGAAGAUAAUAACUAUAACACAGUGUCGUAAUGAUUAAUUUUGGCAAUAUGUGAAAAAUUAUUUGGUAAGUGGCACCUGUUUUGUCAAUAGCAUGUAUUUGUAUAUUGUGUUUACACCAAUAUUUCAUUUUUCCUCCAAAAUAGCUUUUAUCUUAUAUCUAAGAAUUUUCUGUAGCACUGGCUAUAAUAUAUGUGGAUAUACAAAUGAGUAGCAUGCAGUUGAAUAAAAUUAAUUCUACUUAGCAGAAGCUUAGAUUCUUAUUUGAAAACAGAACUUGGGUGCAGUGUAACAUACAUGUCUUUCGUAUACUGUGUGUCAUUUUCAGGUAAACUGCACAGUCACCUGAGAUUUAGCCAGCUGACACUGGAUGUCACCAUUGUGCUGCAUAAAGUAGCUGCAGAACAGGUGUGCUAUUUAGUAUUCAGGGCACAGUUAGUCUCAUCAAAGGUUUGGAGAUAUGUUCGCUGUUUUCCCUCAUAUAACCCAAUUAUCCUUGUGGCACUUUUGUAGUCACUUACUUUUUCAGUUUCUAAUAUUCAAGCUCUAUAAAAUAGCAAUCAAAAAUGAACAAAUAAUCCCUUAGAACCAGGAAACGAAAACCUUAAAACUCAGAAACUGUACUGAAACCAAGCAGGGCUCUUGAUUGCCAUCCGGAGUAAUUGAUUCUGGCUGACUUAGUAGAAGAAGAAUUUACUGAGAGGAUAUAGAGCAGCUACUGGAAUUGAUGGGAAUGUUGAAAAACUAGGUUUGGAAAAUGGGAGGAUCUCAUAUACUAGGACACCAGUGAAAUCAGGUUGUGGGAUGAGGAGUUAGGGUCCUCCUGACAUAGCCACUAGCCACUGACCACUGGAUACUGCCACUGAAUUUGCUGCCACUUGAAGCACCACUCUGUGUCACAGACCCCCCCCCUUUCCUGAACAAUGACUGGAUUUCCACUGCCUCCAGCUCCAACCAGCCAGAUGGCCAUUCCCUGAGUUGCACUUCCAGCGGGAGCUCUCAUUUGGCUGAUUCUAGGUGUUGUCCCUAUGCCCUAGCUCCAAGGAGUGAGCAUGAACAAGAGACCUUUCCUGCAAGACUCAUACAGACGGUGCCUCAGCAUAUCUGGGAAGGAGAUUCAAGCACUAGCUAGCCAAAACCUGCCAGACAUCCAACAUGGUGCUUUUCAAUCAGCAGGCCCCAGAUGUGAGUGAAGAAUACCUCUGUGUGGUCAAUCAGAUUUUGUUGCCCCUUCUCUGGGCUGACCUGGGGUCAGUUGUUUAUACCUUGCAGUACCUGGCAGCUUCACUCUUGUCUUUGCCUCAAUCCUGGGGGAUCCGUAAUAGCAACGGCUAAGCCUGUUUUAAUGUGGCCAAGGAGACAACUCCUUAGGCAAACUGGAAGUCUCAAAAAGUUUAGGUCAAAAAGAAAAAGGUCUUGCAACAUUAAAAGAAAAGAAAAUGGUAGACUUUGCUGUGUGCCGUGGUUUCCUUAGAACACUACUCUAGCGACCGGGUGCCAUGACUCAUGCCUGUAAUCCCAGCACUUUGGGAGGCCAAGGUGGGUGGAUCACUUGAGGCCAGUAAUUCAAGACCAGUCUGGCCAACAGGGCGAAACCCCAUCUCUAGUAAAAAUACAAAAAAAUUAGCUGGGUGUAGUGGUUCACCUCUGUAAUCCCAGCUACUUGGGAAGCUGAGGCACGAGAAUCACUGGAAUCCAGAAAGUGGAGGUUGAAGUAAGCAGAGAUCAUGCCACUCCACUCAAACCUGGACAAGAGUGAGACCCUGUUUCAAAAAAAAAACAAAAAACAAACAACAACAACAACAACAAAAAUCAGAACACUGCUCUAGGUACAUGCCAGCCUCUGCUCUUGCUUUCCCAUUUGCCUGGAACUCUCUUCUCCUAGAUCCUAGAGAGCCACACGGCUUGCACUUGAUUUCUUCAUCUUUUGCUCAAAUACCAACUCCUCAGAUCAGCUUCCCUCACUGCUCAUCUAGAACAGCACCUCCUUUUACCCUCAGUCCCCUGAUGGACUUUCUUCAUGUCACUCAUCACAGCCUCCCUUAGACUCCCUCUAUAUUUACCUGUUUGUUUAAUGUCUGUCUCUCGCUCUGUACUGAAAAUCCUAUGAAACUAUGGUCUUUGGCUCAGCCCUGUAACCACAGUUCCUAACACAGUGGCUUUCUGUAAAUAUUUACUCUCUCAAUAAAUGAAUCAAGGGUCAAGUAAAGAAGGGAAACACCCUUGUUACAGUCUCUACAAUAUGAACAGUGUGUGUAAUCUUUUUCUAGGGUUGCUCUAACAAAGUACCACACACGGAGUGGCUUGAACAGGGAAAUGGAUCAUCUCUCAGUUCUAGAGCCUGGAAGUUCAAGAUCAAGGUGUCUGCAGGGAUGUGAGCAAGAUCUGUUUCGUGCCUCUCCCCUGCUAGUGGUUUGCUAGUAAUGGUUGAUGUUCCUUGGCAUAUAGAAGCAUCGCUACAUCUCUGCCUUCAUUUUCACAGGGCAUUCGGUGUUCUCGUCUCUCGCCACAUUGCUCAUUUUCAUAAGGAUAUCAGGCAUAUUGGAGUAGGGAUCGCCCCUACUCCAGUACCUGACCUCAUGUUUACUUAACUAAUUACACCUGCAAAACCUUAUUUCUAAAUAAGAUCCCAUUCUGAGGAACUGGGGGUUAGGACUUUAACAUGAAUUUGGAGGGAGGACACAGUUCAACCCGUCACAGGCACUUGUUUGUGUUUAUUGUAUAAAACUUCUGCUGUUCUCAUGUCAUUAACCAGAGCACAAGGUUCAGGUAGAUUCUCCUGGGUGCCUGGUGGUGUGGUGGUUUAUCAUAUGGAUUACAAUUCACAAUAAUAUGUGUACAUUGCUUUGUGGAUUGUAAACUCUUCAUUAGAUGGUAGCAUCAUUGUUUGAGGAAACUGACAAAUAAUCAGUGUAUUAGCAAUAAGGAAUUUGUUCCACGGAUUUGCUAGUCUUAAAGUCCUCCAAAGCAAUUUUUCCUUCAUAGCCCAGUUCAGUCUGCAGAUUAUUUAAAAUAUAACCUGCUUCUUUCCUGGAAGAAAGGAAACCACUCAGAUUGCUUGUCAGCCUUAAUUGUGGAUAAUGGUUUCAUAUUUUAAGUACUUGUUUGACAAAUAUGUACAAAUAAUUUAUUAUAUAUUAUAUGUGCUGCUGUAAGUGCUUGACAAAUAUUAACUCAUGAACAACCCCACAUUGAUUAUUGUUGUUAAGAAUUAAUAUUAUUUUCAUUUUACUGUUAAGGAAACUGAGGCACAGAGCAGUUAAGGGACUUGAUAGAGGUCACACAGGUACGGAGUGGCAGAAUGGAGCCAUGAGACUAGGCAGGCUGCCUCUAAACUGUUUCGGCUGUGGAACCCUCUUUCUUCACAGAAAGCCUCAUGGGAAAAUUCAGUGUGUGUGACAGAACAAAGCAGAGCUGCUGUGGUUGAAGUUGAGGUGGCAGAGCUCUGUCUGUUCAGCAGCCCUCCGCCUCCUCCCUGGGAGCCCUGUUUGAAAGGCCCUUGUCUAGGAAAUACCUCCUCUUGGCGUGAUGCCACCUGUAAGCUGUCUUCAAUCCAUUCUAGCAUAAGACAAAGAAAAGUAUUUCCUUACUUUAAUUAACUGAUUGUGAUUUAUUUUGAAAUUUUUAUCCCCUUAAUCUACUUCUGGCUGAAAUAAAAUGCUAACAUGGAUUUUCCCCAGGAUAGUAAUGCCAUAUGGCAAUUUGGACUUUGCCGGCUUGUGUUCCCCUUGGGUUUCUUUCUACGAACCAAGGACUCUGGGUACAAAAGUUUUCUGAACCAAAGACAGAUAUGGAAUUUAAUUUCAUAUGGAUACAGUUAUAAAGCUUUGCAACCAGAUAGAGGUGAACUACCUGCCCUGCUUGUCUUCUGUGGCUAUUGAUAAUAUAAAAUAACAGGGUAACAAUAUUGCCAGUGACAGUCCAUUGAGUGCCUUCUGUUAGCAGGCAUUAAAAAAAAAAAAAACACAAAAACUUCAUUUUCAUAUCUCUAGGUGUUAUCACCCCUAUCUGACAGCUAUUUAAGUGAAAACUAAGAUUUUAUGUAACUUGUUUAACAUGGCCCAACCAGUGAGGGGAAAAGGUGGGAAGUUUUCAGAAAUAUCAGUGAUCAAGAGACAAAAUUCCUUGAUUUUAAGAAUAAAAGGUACAUACAAGAGUAUAUUUUAGGAUAAAAGACGUAAGGCCCGAUGCAAUUUUCAAAUUAUGAAAGAGCCUGAGAAUGCAGACAGAUUCAUUCUAAAGAGUGAUUCAUUCCUGUGAUAAAAUGCCUCUUAUCAUCUGUUAAUGUACACACUG
rnacentral:lncRNA from 1 species